rnacentral:RNase_P_RNA from 1 species
CAAGCAGACCGGACGGCCGCCGGCCUGGCAUAAAGGCGGGAGGAAAGUCCGAGCACCAAGGGCAAGAUGCUGGCUAACCGCCAGGGGGGGGAAACCCCACGGAAAGUGCCACAGAAAAUAAACCGCCGGGAUUACCGGCAAGGGUGAAAAGGUGAGGUAAGAGCUCACCAGCUUAAACGGCGACGUUUAAGGCUGGUAAACCCCAUCCGGUGCAAGACCAAAUAGAGGGGCGAUUUAAAAGCGGCCCGCUUAAGCCCCAGGGUAGGUCGCUGGAGACGCCGGGCAACCGGCGCCCUAGAUUAAUGGCCGUCGCCCGUUGACAAAUGGGAACAGAACUCGGCUUACAGGUCUGCUUGCCAC